rnacentral:lncRNA from 1 species
UAGUGGUGAGGGCUAUAGUCGUGCGCUAACUAGCGAAAUACGGGAAGAAUAUUUCCAAAGAAAGGGAAAAACGUUUAUUAUUUGUUGGAACGAUUCAACGAGGAUAUUGCAUAUAACUAAUUCAACGAUACGAUUUGCUCAACUGCUUGCUUGUUUACUGUUUGCAUUUGUUCACGAGUCUUCCAACGUGCUUAAUCUUAUUUGCGCUGGUCUUCACGUUUCUUGAGAUUUUCCUUCGCUUUGCCAUUGAUAUUUGGGGCAACAUGCGAUGGUCUGUCCCACUGAGUGUAUUACACCGCAUCUGCUAUGUAUUGGCAGAUCUUCUUCUUUCAAUAAAGCCUCCUUAUGAUAGGCCGACAUACCUGGGUUACCCUCUCUGUCCCUUGUAGAUUAGCUUUCGCGGUCUCUUCAAUUUCAAUAUGAGAUGGGGUACACAAGAAAACAGGAUUUUCAGUGGCUUGUUUGUUUGACAGAUUUAAAUUUGCUUAUCGGUUAUGCUCAUCAGUAAUCGUAAUUAGUUUAGUAACCAGAUUUUCCCAUUUGGGAACGUCUAGAAAAGUGAAAGUGUAGAAUUGUUUCGUACGUGGGAAAUAUUGCAAUUCAAUAGAUUUAAUAAAAGAAACAAGCGAUUCGAGCUAUUAACAACAUCGUUUUACGAUGUAAUAUAAAUCGCUAAGUAUAGAUCAGGUUUUAGAUAAAAGUGUAUUUCUCAGAAAAGACAUUGUUCAAAGCAAUUGCAGCUUAACUUGUCAACUAUUGCACGACGGCUUCUGGUUUACACUUAUUCAUUUCGAAUAAAUGUUGAUUGUAAAUGUUAAUGAAUAUUAUUUAAUAAUGUAUUUCGUCUUUGUUUUAUUAAAAAUGUUUUUUUAUAUAUCGAUAUACUGGUUCACCAAAGUGUUUAAGACUCAGGAAAUUAUUGUUUAUACACUUUUAAGAUUAUAAUAAUAAUUAGGAUUAUAAUAACUCUUAAGAUAACAAGUAACAAACAAGUAAAUGUUUAGAAAACUUCUUUGUUCAUAUUGUAUAUGUCAUAUAGUUAAAUUAAGCUUCCAGUUUAAUCAUCGAACAGAAAGGCAAAAGAAGCGCAGGGGAAUUGUUCAAAAAGAAGAAGGAAAACCUCGAAUUAACAAAUCGUGACACGUUUCGAGCGCAUGGCGAACUGAAGGUUGCUUACAAUAAAGUUUAUAAACGAAGAGGUCACGCGAUAACCCUGCAGAAUGUCCGCCACAUUGAUUAUGCUUGCGUUCUCCAACAUGGCUCUCCCAGCUAAUUAGCUUGCAUCUUUUACCUUCACGAAAAUAGUAAAUAAGAAAGGUAUUUUUACCGUGAGAGUCGUUGAACAUAAAUUCCGUUAAAUUUCGAUCCAAACAUCGUUUUUUACUCGUCGAUUAAAAAUAAUUAUCCGAAGAUCAGUGUGGAGGUCAUGUUUUUCAGAAGUUCAAAAGUUUUUGGAAGUCACGAAGGAGGAUGUCCAUAUGUAUAAUUAAAUCAGUAUGAUGAAAGAAUUAGAGGAAAUGAUAGUAAUAUGGGACAAAUCUACGAGAAUAUUGCGAUGAUAUGAAUUUUAUAUUUAGAUUUCAAUUUAAUUUUGUAACUUUAGACGUAGGCACAUAAUUCCAAAAGAUAGAAAAUAUUUUCAAUAUCUUGAGAGAGUGAUUUAACAUAAAACUGGAAUUAAAAUGUUUUUCCUCAGACUAUAGAAAUCGUAUAACGAUAAAAACAAAUGCAAUUAAGUAAAAAACGACCUACAGGAAAUGACAGAGUUGGAUAUAUAAAUAUAAAAUAAGUUCACGUUUUCUUGCUGCUACUAACUGAUCGUCUUCGACUCUUUUCUACGAACAGUUCACUUCUCUCGAAGUUUCUGCUCACAGGUAUCGUAGAGAAAUUACAGUACAUGAAGGUAGCAAAAAGUAGAUUGCAAAUAAAGCAAUGCUUUAAAUUUGUAAUAAUAAAGCUUACUGUGGCAAUUAACAAUUAUAAAGUAUCUUAUUAAAAUAUAGUAUCUCAUUGAAAUUAUAAAGUAUCUCAAAGUAUCACAUUUAUCAAUAGGUAUAAAGCAAUGUUCU